rnacentral:tRNA from 1 species
ACUUAAUUAGUUUAAAUAAAAUAAUAAUUUGUGGAAUUAUAGAUGUGAAAUUAACAUUAGGUA